UUAGCAAUACCUGGACAGAGUUGAGCUUCAAAGGAUACUGAGAAAUGGCUAAAGCAGAUGAUAAAGAAAAAAUGAGGAAAUGCUGUGAAGAACUAAUAGAACGUUUCAGAAGCAGAACAAGUCGAGAGCAGUGAUGACCCUUUUCUUCCUGCUAGUACCUCCUGUCUGUCUGGCUGAACUCACCAUCAGAUGAUGUCUUGAACCUCACCUAGAUGGGCUGGUGGUGUGUGGCCAGGUUAAGAGCACCAACAGGAGUAAGAAAGUGACCUGCCUGGUUUUACCGUGUGCACUAGGGGAGGGGUUGAAAGCUUUCGGUUGAUACAUCACCUCUGGGAGUUGAAGAAGAAUGCAAUUAAGAGAGCUAAAGAAGUCAGUAUAGAAUCUGAAACUCAGAGGUCAACUGAUGUGUCAAAGAUACCUCCACAAAUCAGUACCUUGAUUAAAACUAAAAUUGGAGUCAUCUUCAUAUCUUCAUCUUUCUCCCUCUUCAUUAGGACCGAUUGUAGUCUGUU
rnacentral:lncRNA from 10 species